rnacentral:rRNA from 1 species
GACGAACGCUGGCGGCGUGCUUAACACAUGCAAGUCGAACGGUGAAGCGCUUUCCUUUUUGGUUGGUGUGGAUGAGUGGCGAACGGGUGAGUAACACGUGAGUAACCUGCCCCCUUCUUCUGGAUAACCGCAUGAAAGUGUGGCUAAUACUGGAUAUUCUGCGCCUGCUGCAUGGUGGGUGUGGGAAAGAUUGUGCCUUUGGGUGUUUUCGGUGGGGGUUGGGCUCGCGGCCUAUCAGCUUGUUGGUGGGGUGAUGGCCUACCAAGGCGGUGACGGGUAGCGGUGCUGGGAGGGGGGACGGUCACACUGGGACUGAGACACGGCCCAGACUCCUACGGGAGGCAGCAGUGGGGAAUAUUGCACAAUGGGCGCAAGCCUGAUGCAGCGACGCCGGGCGAGGGAGGGAGGCCUUCGGGUUGUGAACCUGUUUGGCGAGGGAAGCAGGCCGGGUCUUUGUGGGUGGGUUGACGGUAGCUGGAUAAGAAGCGCCGGCUAACUACGUG